UACGUAGGGGGCAAGCGUUACUCGGAAUCACUGGGCGUAAAGCGUGCGUAGGCGGUUGGGUAAGUCUGCUGUGAAAGCCCUGGGCUCAACCUGGGAACUGCAGUGGAUACUGGCCAGCUAGAGUGUGAUAGAGGAUGGUGGAAUUCCCGGUGUAGCGGUGAAAUGCGUAGAGAUCGGGAGGAACACCAGUGGCGAAGGCGGCCAUCUGGAUCAACACUGACGCUGAGGCACGAAAGCGUGGGGAGCAAACAGG
rnacentral:rRNA from 1 species